rnacentral:rRNA from 1 species
UGACCUACGGGAGGCUGCAGGCGCGAAAACUUUACAAUGCGGGAAACCGCGAUAAGGGGACACUGAGUGCCAGUACCAUGUACUGGCUGUCCGCAUGUAUAAAUCACAUGUGUCAGCAAGGGCCGGGCAAGACCGGUGCCAGCCGCCGCGGUAACACCGGCGGCCCGAGUGGUGGCCAUUAUUAUUGGGUCUAAAGGGUCCGUAGCCGGUUUGAUCAGUCUUCCGGGAAAUCUGACAGCUUAACUGUUAGGCUUCUGGGGGAUACUGUCAGACUUGGAACCGGGAGAGGUAAGAGGUACUACAGGGGUAGGAGUGAAAUCUUGUAAUCCUUGUGGGACCACCAGUGGCGAAGGCGUCUUACCAGAACGGGUUCGACGGUGAGGGACGAAAGCUGGGGGCACGAACCGGAUUAGAUACCCGGGUAGUC